rnacentral:misc_RNA from 1 species
UUUCCGUAGGUGAACCUGCGGAAGGAACAUUAAUGAGUUUUGACUGGUUUGUAUCUUGCCAUCCGUGGCCUGCUCAUGUCCUGUGUCUCUACUCCACACCUGUGCACUUCCUGUGGGUAUCAGAUCGUAAAUCGUGCCUCUUUACCUGAAAAAGAUAAUGAUUUCUGUGUCCACGAUACACAUUUACACAAUAAAUUACUAGAAUGUCUAUUACGAUGUAACGCCACCAUAUACAACUAUCAGCAACGGAUCUCCCGGCUCACACAUCGAAUAACAACG